GGAAUGUGGCUCAGUGGUAGAGUGCUUGCCUAGUAUGUAUGAGGUCCUGGGUUUGAUUCCCCAGUACCA
rnacentral:tRNA from 1 species